GUUUCCCGUAAGGCGCCGAACGAGUCAAGAAAAAUUAACAUCGUCCGAUCCCUAGUCGGCAUAGUUUAUGGUUAAGACUACGACGGUAUCUGAUCGUCUUCGAUCCCCUAACUUUCGUUCUUGAUUAAUGAAAACAUCCUUGGCAAAUGCUUUCGCAGUAGUUAGUCUUCAAUAAAUCCAAGAAUUUCACCUCUGACAAUUGAAUACUAAUGCCCCCAACUAUCCCUAUUAAUCAUUACGGUGAUUCAGAAACCAACAAAACAGGACCACCGUCCUAUUUUAUUAUUCCAUGCUAAUGUAUUCAGACAUAAGCCUGCUUUGAACACUCUAAUUUUUUCAAGGUAAAGGUCCUGGUUUCCUACCACGCUAAAUUAAUAACAUGAUAGUUCCCCAGAAGGUAGAAAUUCCACACGCCAGUACAAACAGUAGCCCGACCAACGGUGGAACCCCGAAAUUCAACUACGAGCUUUUUAACUGCAACAACUUUAAUAUACGCUAUUGGAGCUGGAAUUACCGCGGCUGCUGGCACCAGACUUGCCCUCCAAA
rnacentral:rRNA from 1 species